UACGGAGGGUGCAAGCGUUAUCCGGAAUCAUUGGGUUUAAAGGGUCCGCAGGCGGAUUUAUAAGUCAGUGGUGAAAGCCUACAGCUUAACUGUAGAACUGCCAUUGAUACUGUAAGUCUUGAAUUCGGUCGAAGUGGGCGGAAUGUGUAAUGUAGCGGUGAAAUGCAUAGAUAUUACACAGAACACCGAUAGCGAAGGCAGCUCACUAGGCCUGGAUUGACGCUCAGGGACGAAAGCGUGGGGAUCAAACAGGAUUAGAUACCCUGGUAGUCCACGCUGUAAACGAUGAUUACUCGUUUUCGGCGAUAUACAGUCGGAGACUAAGCGAAAGUGAUAAGUAAUCCACCUGGGGAGUACGAUCGCAAGGUUGAAACUCAAAGGAAUUGACGGGGGCCCGCACAAGCGGUGGAGCAUGUGGUUUAAUUCGAUGAUACGCGAGGAACCUUACCAGGGCUUGAAAGUUAGUGAAGAAUGUGGAAACAUGUUCGUCGGCAAUGACACGAAACUAGGUGCUGCAUGGCUGUCGUCAGCUCGUGCCGUGAGGUGUUGGGUUAAGUCCCGCAACGAGCGCAACCCCCAUCUUUAGUUGCCAGCGGAUAAUGCCGGGGACUCUAAAGAAACUGCCUACGCAAGUAGUGAGGAAGGCGGGGACGACGUCAAGUCAUCACGGCCCUUACGUCCUGGGCCACACACGUGCUACAAUGGUCGGUACAGAGGGCAGCUACCGGGUGACCGGAUGCGAAUCUCUAAAGCCGAUCUCAGUUCGGAUUGGAGUCUGCAACUCGACUCUAUGAAGCUGGAAUCGCUAGUAAUCGCGCAUCAGCCAUGGCGCGGUGAAUACGUUCCCGGGCCU
rnacentral:rRNA from 1 species